rnacentral:rRNA from 1 species
UGAAUUUAAGCAUAUCACUAAGCGGAGGAAAAGAAACUAACAAGGAUUCCCCUAGUAGCGGCGAGCGAAGAGGGAAAAGCCCAGCACCGAACCUCGCACCUUCGGGUGUCGCGGAAUGUGGUGUUCAGGAGGACCGUGCGCGUCUGUCCGGUAUCGUCCAAGUCUCCAUGAAUGGGGCCAGCAACCCAGAGAGGGUGUCAGGCCCGUGGGACGAGCCGCGACCGUGUAUUGGGUCUCUCCUUAGAGUCGGGUUGCUUGAGAGUGCAGCCCUAAGCGGGAGGUAAACUCCUUCUAAGGCUAAAUACGGCCACGAGACCGAUAGCAAACAAGUACCGCGAGGGAAAGUUGAAAAGAACUUUGAAGAGAGAGUUCAAGAGUGCGUGAAACCGUUCAGGGGGUUAAACGGGUGGGCCCUCGAAGGUCGAACGGUCCCCACUCCCGUCACUCGUAGGCCGGUCCGCGCCGUCUUCGAUUCCUUAUGGAACGAGUCGGUGCGGUUCGCCGGUUUACGGGGGCCGCUAGCUGGGGACCCAGUAGGACUCCGCAACCGGCUGGGCAGGCCGUCAGAAGGGUUCUGGAGGAAGCUUCCUUUGGAGGUGGAUUCCGGGAUUCCGGGCGGUCCUCUCGGCCGUGAACCCAAAUUUCUCCCUUCGCGGGGAGAAUGCGCGGAGAGUAGAGUCGGGUCCCACCCGACCCGUCUUGAAACACGGACCAAGGAGUCUAACAUGUACGCGAGUCGUCGGGUACUACUAAACCCGAAGGCGCAAUGAAAGUGAAGGCCGCCCUCGUUGGCGGCCGAGGGGAGAUCCCGUUCUGCUCCGGUAGCUCGGGCGCAUCCCCGGGGCGUCGAAGCCGCGUUGCCGGCUAGACGAACCAAGAGCGUACACGUUGGGACCCGAAAGAUGGUGACCUAUGCCUGGCCAGGACGAAGCCAGGGGAAACCCUGGUGGAGGUCCGCAGCGAUUCUGACGUGCAAAUCGAUCGUCUGAGUUGGGUAUAGGGGCGAAAGACUAAUCGAACCAUCUAGUAGCUGGUUCCCCCCGAAGUUCCCUC